rnacentral:rRNA from 1 species
CACACGUAGUCGGGUUGAAUAUACUCAGGCGCUUGAGUGAAUCACGGUUAAGGAACUAGGCAAAUUGACCCUGUAACU